rnacentral:rRNA from 1 species
UACGGAGGGUGCGAGCGUUGUCCGGAAUCACUGGGCGUAAAGGGCGCGUAGGCGGCUUGGGAAGUCUGUGGUGAAAGCUCGUGGCUCAACUGCGAGUCGGCCAUAGAUACUCCUAAGCUCGAGUCGACUAGAGGCAGAUGGAAUUCCUGGUGUAGCGGUGAAAUGCGCAGAUAUCAGGAAGAACACCCGUGGCGAAGGCGGCUCUCUGGGACGGUACUGACGCUGAGACGCGAAAGCGUGGGGAGCGAACAGG